ensembl:lncRNA
GCAAACAAGUUAUGUGUAUUCAAAAAAAAAAUGUAUGGCAUUCUUUCAAGUGUUGGAUUAGAAGAAGGACUUAGAAUGUUGCCAACCAGAAAUAGUAUUUUUUGAGUGUCCACCAUUUAAUAUUUGGGGGCCUCUCUCCUGUCUGCAGAUUUCCCGGGUGGUGCAGUGGUAAAGAAUCUGCCUGCUGAUGCAUGAGAAACAGGAGACAAGGGCUCUAUCCUGGGUCAGGAAGAUCCCCUGGAGAAGGGAAUGGCAAUCCAUUCCAGUAUUCUUACCUGGAAAAUUCUACAGACAGAGAAGACUGGCGGGCUACAGUCCAUGGGGUCAAAGAGUCUGCCACAGCUGGGCAAGAGAGCAUGCACACACUCCUGUCUGCAUGAGUUUUCUCUGUUCUUAAACAUCCUGUUUAGGUCUGCCGAGAGAACAAACUUUCUUACCGAGGAUUUUUGGAUGUUUUCUUGAUUCACUCCAGUGGCCCCAAUGAAGGAGACUUCUAGUUCUUAAUUCCAUUUUUCUUCGUUAUGUAUGGACCUCUCCACCUCCCCUCACAGCCUGUCUACCUACCAAAUAACUAUUUGGGCUGCUCAGGGAGUCAGGAUGGCCCAGAAUCUAGAACAUAUCCACAGCUUCAUCCAGCUGUAGAAGUUUCUCUUUCCCCUCCCUUCUCCAGGGGAUCUUCCCAAUCUGGAGAUUGAACCCAGGUUUCCUGCAUUGAAGGCAAAUUCUUUACCAUCUGAGCCACCAGAAAAACCCUCUCUUUUCCCCUGAAUAGAAAUAUUUGUUUCAACUAACAUGUUUUAUUAAGUGUGUUGCAUCAUCACUGUUAAAAAUACCAAUUCUGCUGCAAUUAUUGCCACAAGGAAAGAUUUGUAAAUAUCUUGGAAAAAGAGUCCUUUUUCACCCCCAAUACAAAUAGCUAAGUUAGCAUAUGUCUUUCUAAAAUCCCUUUCUUUUAUAAAAAUCAUCCCUUUCCUUCCUUCCUGAUCUAUCAAAAGAGGUACAUUUGCCCAUGUUCUCCACCCAAGGGUGAAGCAUUAUAUAUUUUGACAUAUGUACUUGGCCCAGAGAGAAUCAAAGUGGCUGUAACAGCUUUGAUCAUAGUAGUUAUUUGAGUAAUCUUGUGAAAGAUUUUUCCAACUAACAGGUCUUUGGAGGAACUGAAACAGGCUUCUUUUAUGGGUGCCUCUUAAGGGAUCAGUUAGGAUCAGAAAUGAUCGAUGCUUCUCUUCUAUACUUACAGUCUCUAAUGAGAGACCAAGUUGCCUGGGAGUCUCCCCUAAGUGAAGCCUGCCUUGAAGGCUGAGCCAUCCUAUGUUGAAGAGGAGCAACUGCCACUCAGAAACAUUUUCAUCAACGUCUUUCUGUGUUGCAUGAACCUAAGACUCACCUGAACCACGAGUUAUGAGAAAAUUCAUGCCCCAUCACAGCGAAACAGCUGUGUUCCCCCAGUCACUGAUUUUGAAAGAUGUUAAGGGAAGAGUCGGGGGGACCCAGGACCAGUCCUUUCCAGCUCCUAAUCAGAAGGUUCCAACCAACAUCUCCAACUGGGCUGUGACAGGACCUCACCACUGAUGGACAUGUUUUAUUCGGGCCUUACUUAGAGACACUGAGGUCUCAAUACGCUUUGGACAAUAAACUGAGUCAGUCGGGAUUAAAAUGUGUGACUCAGAUGCCUAAUUCUGAAUGCUACUCUGUUGAAUUAGGAGGGCUUUUUUUUUUAGAGUGUGUUUGUUUUGGUUUUAAUUUAACAUGGAGAAUGGCAGAGACAAAUAGAUCUGUUCAAAAUAAACUGAGUAACAAAUUUUUGAGCUGUGGUGGUUACUAAUUUCAUGUAAGUGGCUCCUCUUUUUGUUUUUAUAAACUGUAAAAUUCAAGAGGAAGCAGAACCAAAUGUAAUAUACUUUUAUUGAUUGCCUGCUAGGUGCCAAGCAAGGUGUUAAAUGUUUGCAAAUGCUGCCUUAUUUAUCCUUGUCUUACAG